CCUACGGGAGGUAGCAGUGAGGAAUAUUGGUCAAUGGCCGGAAGGCUGAACCAGCCAUGCCGCGUGAAGGUCAGUGCUCUAUGGGCGUUAAACUUCUUUUGUGCGGGAGCAAUAAUGGUCACGUGUGGCCAGACGAGAGUACCGUACGACUAAGCAUCGGCUAACUCCGUGCCAGCAGCCGCGGUAAUACGGGGGAUGCAAGCGUUAUCCGGAUUUAUUGGGUUUAAAGGGUGCGUAGGCUGUGAGGUAAGUCAGCGGUGAAAUGCCCCCGCUCAACGGGGUGAAGUGCCAUUGAUACUGCCUGGCUGGAAUGCGGAUGCCGUGGGAGGAAUGUGUGGUGUAGCGGUGAAAUGCAUAGAUAUCACACAGAACACCGAUUGCGAAGGCAUCUCACGAAUCCGCGAUUGACGCUGAUGCACGAAAGCGUGGGUAUCAAACAGGAUUAGAUACCCUUGUAGUC
rnacentral:rRNA from 1 species